CCCGGGCAUGUAAGUAAAUAAAGGAGGGGGACCCACGGGAGGUGGUAGGAUCGCUUGAGCCCAGGAGUUCUGGGCUGUAGUGCGCUAUGCCAAUGGAGUGUCCGCACUAAGUUGGGCAUCAAUAUGGUGACCUCCCCGGAGCGGGAGACCACCAGGUUGCCUAAGGAGGGGGGAACCGGCCCAGGUCGGAAACAGAGCAGGUCAAAACUCCCGUGCUGAUCAGUAGUGGGAUCGCGCCUGUGAAUAGCCACUCCACUCCAGCCUGGGCAACAUAGCCAGACCCUGCUC
ensembl:misc_RNA Metazoa_SRP Metazoan signal recognition particle RNA